rnacentral:rRNA from 1 species
GGACUACCGGGGUAUCUAAUCCUGUUUGAUCCCCACGCUUUCGUGCCUCAGCGUCAAUCUACCCGUAGUCAGCUGCCUUCGCAAUAGGUGUUCUAUGUCAUAUCUAAGCAUUUCACCGCUACAUGACAUAUUCCGCUAACCUCCAGGAAAUUCAAGACAAAUAGUAUCAAUGGCAGUUCUGGAGUUAAGCUCCAGGAUUUCACCACUGACUUAAUUGCCCGCCUACGCACCCUUUAAACCCAGUGAAUCCGGAUAACGCUUGCACCCUCCGUAUUACCGCGGCUGCUGGCAC